UUUUUGUCACCUCCCACACUGUCGAUCCUAUCCCCGAUCUCCAUCCUCUCGAUAGUUCUUUCGUUGCCGCCCACGCUGUACGAGGGGAGACCCCGCCGCCGCCGAGGGGAGGGGACGAAACCGCCGAGGGGAGACGCCGCCGCCUCCGUCCGACGGGAGAAGCAGGGGAGAAGCCGUCGUCCGAGGGGAGACCCUGCCGCCGCGGAUCCAGGGCAGGGCGGCUUGAAUCCCUGUCCCCGGGGUCGCCCCCGCCGAUCUCCGGGAGACGCCGUCAUCCCCGCCGCGUCUCCAGGGCAGGGCGGUUUCAAUUCACCUCACCCUCCAGAGGGGCUCCGAGACCAGGCCAGGAUCCCCUGUAGCCUGGGAGGGGUUCAGUGACCCGUCCGAAGCGGAACUCGUCUACGACCACAUGCUCUGGGCGGUCCUGCACGAGGCCUUCAACUGCAGCAACGUGGACAUCUACGGGAGGCUGGCGAUUGGGAAAUCUACCGCAUUAUUCUUGUGUGAAGAGUGGACUGCCACACCUGUUUGCGAAGCCCUUGGUGACAUUGCUGAUGUAUCUGUGGCAGGUAUGAUUAUCUCGUAGAUUAUCUUUUGCCUGACACUCUUCUUAGUCUUUACUGCUGCUCUCAACUGACCUCAUAUAUUUUCAUCUCUCCCCACCAUUGAAGUACUAGCUAUUUUGUUCUGGGGUCAAAGGAUUAUGUAAUGGUGCAAGGUGAGAUACUUGAAGGUCUGGUUGCCUGUAUUGUCAGACGUGAAAGUUUUGAGAAACCUCCCACAACCUUCAUUAGAUAUCCUAACAGAUUUUCUGAUGCAUUUGAACAUUUUCUCAGAUUGUUUGAUGCUUCUGAUCUGUGAAGUUGAAAACACUUUAUAUGCCUACUGAUUCAGAAAGCUACCAUUAUAUGCAGGCGACUCUGAUUUAGGACCAAGUUUAUGACAAAUACAUGCUGCUAAUAGGUCAGAUGAGAAGCAGCAAAUGAAAGCACUUUUUGAAAAUGUUGGAUCUUCAAUGUGUUCGGACCACUGUGAUUGGUUUGGAAACAGUGGUCUUGAGGCGAUGUCUCGAAAUGCUGAUACAUUACCCGUCAUCCAUUUUCUACAACUGCGUCCAACGAACUAUGAAAUUAAGAAAUUACAGGUUAGCUCAUUUUAUUGGUUCUUGUCCAACAAUAGAUUGUUCUUGACUGUAAUGGACAUACUUCCGUUUUAAAUGCAUGAUAACUAUAAUAUCAGAAAGCCAAUAGCUUGUUAGAUAGUAAUUCAGUUCUUCCUGUUUUGAACUGUUACAAGAGAUGUUUCAUCUGGUGAAGCAGAAAAAUUUCCCUGCAGCUUUCAGAUGUUACUGGAAUAAUAAAAAAUUUGAUUCUCUUUCAAAUGAUUACUUGUACUACAAUGCUUAUCCAUGGGCACAGUGAUUCUGCUUUUGGACAUUAUCAGCAAGAGAUGAGGUAAAUUUGCGAAAUCAUCCUUGUAUUACAAGAUGCUUAUCCAUGGACGUUUAAAUUUUCACCCGUCUUUAAAAAUAUAAUGCCUUCAUUCAGACGUUAUGAUUUUUUUCUCUCGCUUUUGCCAUUUUUUAUUUCUCACCUACCUUCACCACUUAUGAUUAAAUCCGCAUACUAAAACUUCUCUCCUUCCCUAGACAAUGACUUCAUGGCUACCAUGACCAUCUUCCUAUACUAUUAAUGGCUUAUUUAUUUCCCAUGUCUGAAUAAGUUACACUUUAUAAUAUGAAAUGGAUAGAGUAUCUCAUUAGUAUAUGGAAAUAUCUCUUCUUUCUUCUUCUUUUUUUAGAUUUAUUAACUCUAAUGGAUCCCCCAUUUUCCUUUCUAGGAAAAAUCAAGAGCAUGCAUAUUUAGUACUGUACUUUAUAAGAAGCAGUUUCCUUUCCAACCCAUACAAUCUCCAUAGUACACUAUGUUCUACUAGUAUAUGGUACGUGCUAUGCACGUGAUGUUUUGUGAUCAAACAACAAUCAAGUUUACACCAUACAAUUGUACAUCGUCAACUCAUCAUUGGUGGCUUCAUGCCAUAUGACUUUACACAAUGGGUGCUUCACAAAACAGCCGCAAAAGUUCUUGCAUAGAACUUUUACUUUCAUCAACAACAGAACUCCAGAAAUAUCGUGUCCAACUUGUUUUGGUGCGUAGCUGCACCAAGCGAAUUCCAAAAAUCAGGGCCGUUGGGUCACUUGAAAUCAAUGGCUAAUAAAUGCUUCUAUAUCACGGCGGGUGAUGAGUCCAAAUUAAAAAAUUCAUGUACUGCGUGUGGAUUUAGGGAUUAUUACUGGAGACAAUGGGAAAACUUGAAUCAUGUUUGUAAAAUGAAUUUAUAAGAGAAUGUAAUAGCUAUUUAAUUACAACAUAUAUUAAGCUUUCACUUUAUUUGUGUUUGUAAUCUCAUAACCAGGCGGAUCAAUCAAUUGAAAAAAAGAAGAUAAUGAAUAGUAGUAUUAAGCAUAUGAUUAUUUGUACUAAAUAAAAUCCCUUCAGUUAACAUUUUGCCCUUACCGUGGCUGCACUGCUGCAUGCACUUCUCCGUCUCUCUCCCAUCACGUGUAGCAGUACUUUUGCAUGGUGGAAUUUCUUGCCAGUAGUAGUACUCUAGGGUAGCACUCUCAUGGGAGCCUACCGGAGAUUUCUAGGAUGCUGUGUCCGGCGGAAGAUUCACGAACCUGCACGUACUCUCUACUGCGGUGGAAGUCUGCCAGCGAAGGGUGUGCACACUGCGAAUCCCUCCAUUGUGGGCCGUCCGAUCACUCCAUCUGACGGUCUAUAAGAGGCCACAUAGUCCUCUAUCUAAACCAAUUGAGUGCGAGCCGUCGGAUUACAAAGAUCCAACGGUCUAUAUCUCUUCAUAUUGAUACACUAUAUAGGAGUAUAUAUAUGUUCUAUUGUGUGGUUGUUGGUAUUCUAAAAACACUUCUAUGAUAAGCCUAGCAUUCUGUGUCCACAGCCAGGAGGCCUGUAAGAGUUACUAAUUUAAGAUAAUACUGACGCGCCCAAUUCAUCAUAUAAUACCAAUAAACGUGAUAAUGUGAGUCGGGGAGUACAAGUCCGUCGCAGCAAAGUUUGCAUCAACACAAUGGAAGUGGUAUUCUGUAGAAAAAUAGCAGCCAUCAUCUCACAGACACCUGUACAAUUACUUACAAGAGCAAUCAUGUAGUUAGAACGACAUAUUAGUAUAGUUUUGCUAUAACUGAGGCUAAGUUCUGCCGUAAUGUUCUUGUUGCUGAUAGCAUGUGUAUUGAUGAAAAGUUAGAUGACAUGGAUGCUUAUGAGAUUCUCUGUGUAGGUGCUUUCAUCUGAUAAUUUUGAUAUUUUAUUUACUGAAUAAUCUUCCGAGAAUCAGGUUUGUAAAAGAAGACCUUAUCCAUGGCUGCAUUUUUCCCUUGUGGGUAUUAUGAAUUGUUCAAUUCGUUUUUUGUUAACUGCUCAAGUAACUUUCUAGCAUUUGAAGAGUCGUAUUAUCUUAUGAAUUGCUUUAAACUUUGUAUGUGUUCUUCAGAAUUAUUUUAAGGACUUGACACUUUGGAAUCUGAGACUAUCUCUGAAUCUCCAAGUGGAAUAGGGGUUAUACGGAUUGAAGAUAACAAAGCGCGUACAUAUAUGUUCAUUCCUACAUGCUGACACCAGGUCAAUGAAUUUGUCAAGAUUGCUAGAGCUGCAAACAUCCAUGCUUACAUAAUUUUCCAACUGAAGAAUGACAUAACUGCAAUGACGGGGAAAGCCAAGGCUCAACGGCGACUCAUUGACAGCUUACAUGAUGAGUAGGGAACCUGAUGGGCUACCCUCUUCGGUAAAAACUUGCUUCAUGCCAUUGUAUAAUCUAUUAAGAAAUCACAGAGUCAAAAAUUGCUGUCCCGCUCUCUUCGGUAACAAUUUUUUAUUUAGUAAUCCUGCGCCUCAAAGUUCGUAAUCCUGUAAUGCAUCCUUGAAAUCAGUUUGUUCUCCACCAUUGAGUAUCAUACAUAAUGCAUCAACGGGUUAGGUAGAAAUUGCCUGCACCAAAACCUGUAUAACGAACAGACUGCCACAUUUAUUCAGUGCAACUCAUCCCGCUUCAGCAUCGAAGUUUCAAGGGGCCAUGAGAGCGGAGGUAGCCAAGUCGUUGUUGCAUUAAGGCAGAGUGUGGACGUAAUUAUCUCAUUAGCGUUUAAGUGCUGGUUCGAUAAACAACCUUUGAUCCAUGUGGUUUGUUAUAUAUCUACUGAUCCAUGAAGAAAGUUUUCACUGGAUACUUAUCACCUGUUUAAUUUACAAUUAUCUUUUGAUUAAUACUUUCUCUACGCAAGUUUUUUUUAUCUAAUUGUUCCAUUCUUCAUAGGUUUAUAGGGGUAUUUGUAACCUGGAGCAAUCAGACACACUUUCUUAUCCGGAAAUGAAAUCCGAACAUCUGUUUGGUUUUAAUAUGUAAACUAGUGUACCUACUUAGAGUGAUCUUUUAACUCAAUGAAAAUUACAUAAAUUUGCUUGGUAAAGGCCUCAUGUCACUUGGCAUCAAAGAGCUCAAGCUUCUUGAAAAGCAACUUGAUUCAUCCUCAAGGUACAUAAGAUCCAAAAGACUAAUUGAUUUCUUUUCGGUAUAAUCAUGAUUCAGAAGAAAGGAGCACUAGCUCUUUCAUUGUCUAUAGAAAACAGUACAAAUUGUUCCUUUGUUCUGCUUAUUUCUACUGUGUUAAAUAAUAAUAGGCAAUAUUAUGCUGCUAGAUGUAGGGUUUCAUGAUCACUUUUGACCUGUGUUGUAGGUAGAUUACACCUAUUUUUGUCUUGCUUUGAUUUUAAGUAAAAUUGAGCUGGGCGUGUGCUCUGUUCAAACAAUAAACAAAAUAGAGUAUCCUCAUGCUGUAAAUAUACCUCAGUUUUUUUUCAAUUUACUAAACACAUCUCAGGUUAGUGAGAUGCUCUGUACACUACAUCUAUUGAACUAUGUGCAGUUUUCAGCUUGAUGUCUUUGAUUUAACGUCAUUAUUCUAGGACUGGAAUAUUUAGCAUUUGACAUAUUGAUUCCAGUAAUGCAAUUAAUGCAUUGUAAAAACUAGGAAUAAUUUGGCUGUGUCGUCCUCGAUAUGUUAUGACACAAAAAUGUUGAUCAUUUUCACAAUUGCAGACACAUCAUAUGCUUCAUCAUCUCACUGGUCUCUAGAGCAAGGUAGGCUCUUAACAAAAUAAAUUUUAUCAUAUUAUGUAUUCAUAAAUUUUCUCACACAAAUUUAUUCAGAUAUAAAAUCGACUGUACACUGAAUAAUUUUGUAGGGAGAUCUUUUGAGAAGAAAAUAAGUGCCUUAGAAGAAAAGAAAAUGUAAUUUCCCAUUGCAUGUAUUAAUUAGAUUACUGAAUUCUUUCCCUCGAGAAGAAAUAAUUUAACUCAGUCAUUUCUGUCCUUUCUUUCGGGUUUAAUCUUCAUAAAAGUGGUUGAGUUUUGGUGUUGGCUCGCCAAGCCUAUCAAGCUUGUCCAACAUUGUCUGAGAUAGUUUGGGCAUAUUCAGCACAGGCCUCCUGAAGCUCUCGUGCAUAGCGGAUAGCUAAAGCAUGCUGAUACUGUCAAGAGAGGUCGGGGUAGACCGAACUUGACAUGGGAGGAGUCCGUAAAGAGAGAUAUGAAGAACUGGUGUACCAUCAAAGAACUAGCCAUGGACAGGGGUGCGUGGAAACUUGCUAUCCAUGUGCCAGAACCAUGAGUUAGAUGCAUUAUCUUAUGGGUUUCACCUCUAGCCUACCCCAACUUGUUUGGGACUAAAGCCUUUGUUAUUAUUAUUGUUAUUGUUACAUUUCUGUCCUUUCUAGGAGGAUUUCAAUUGUUUUCCCAAUUUUCCUUCCACCAUUUUGUAACCCUUUGCAGAACCGUCUGGGGAGGUUCGCAGCAUUGUCUACUCAUCUGAUGGGAAAUCGGUAUCUGUUAUCUAUCAUGUGGUUAUGGAACUGAUACAGAUGACCCUUCUUUGCCUGGGGGUUAUAUGUGGUUCAGUUUGCAGAAUCUUGUUUGGUUUUACAUUGAUCUUACAUGCUCAAUUUUUAAGCGUAUAACCAGUUUGUAGGUCCAAAUAUUUGGUAUGUGGACGUGACCAAUGGGGCAUGGAGAUUAUGGCAAGGCAUGGUGCUGUGGUGGCGGCGGUGAAGGUAACCUCGUCGAAGGCGGCGUCGCUGGAUGGCUAUCGAUGAAAGCGGCAUGGGGAUGGGGGAGGUGGAGUGUCGAGGGAUGGAGGCAUCGAACGGCAGCCAGGGAGACGGGGUGGCAGUGAGAUUGGACUAGCUUGCCUAGGAGUGUGGGCAAGAUUUCCUUUCCAGGAUGGCCGAGGGUUUCUCUCUCUCUCUCUCUCUCUCUCUGUGUGUGUGUGUAUGUGUGUGUGUGUGUGUGUGUGUGUGUGUGUGUGUGUCAAUAGACCAUAAACUUUUCUUCAUUUAUAGUGCUAAAGAUAUGUCAAUACAUGUUCUUACAUUUAGGCUCCUAAACUUGUUGAAUGAGUUCUAUAUACAAGAUUUAAGUUGUCCUUCUAUAAAUUAAGACUGCCUUUGCUAAUCUUUGUUGCAUUGCUAUUGAUGAGUCUAUAAUUGUCAACCUGGACAGUAACAACACUAUCGUUUUAUCUCUCAAUGUGAGCAAGUAAGAUUUUGUUCAGAGCUUUAUUCUAUUGGAUUAUUUUUCUAUUACAGAAGUUGAUGCUCGAUCUUGUUAUUCAUUUCCUGGGAUCAUUUCUUAGUCUACUGCAUCAUUAACAAGAGCUUGGGGAUUGCUUCGAGGAUUCUGCAGAUUUCUCCCAUAACCUCUUGUAGUGACACAAUGCUAUGAUCUUCAACCAUAAAAAUGAAACCGUCAGCAUUGAUGGCCUGCUCCUAUGAUCUCACAGAGCGUCACCAAUGGUGAUAGCGUUGUGUCAAGGAGAAGGUGGAGAGGGAGAAAGAGAAAAGGAGAAUGGAAGCCAAGUGAUAGACAAAGGGAGUGAAAGAUAGAAGACAGGCAAUAACUUGUGUUCUCUUACUAACGCUUUAUUUAUUGAGGACCUGUAUCAAUGCACAGUUAUUUAUCGCUGUAUGAUGAAAACAUUUGGCGACUCAAACAGACAAAGAAUAAACAAAUUUUAUGUCCUUUUGGGUCACUGUGUUCGAGUUUAGGGUGGCAUGUGUGACACUCGGCUAAUGGAGCUGCUCAUCGGCUAUCGUACAAUGAUUGUGCAAAUAAGUUAUGUAAAACAUGGGUCAGGUACCCGGCGUUUUGUAUUC